AGCCCAGCGUGACAAGCUAAGCAAACUUUUAAAAAUCCAUUCUAAUGCAGUUGUUCCAUUUGCAUGAGGCAAGCUUCAUUUUCCUGAAAUAUUUUCUUUCAGUAUUUUUGCCAAAAGCAAAUUUUGUCACAAUAAAACACAUUUCCAUGGGAACAUUUGUUUUGGCAAAGCAGGAUGAUUUGAAAGAAAAAUGUUUCACUGGAAAAAUUAUGGCCAGCUUUAGUAGCUGUGGCUCCUACUGGCACAGGGAAGAUAUAAAACUUUCAGACUUGGGGAAGACAAAUCCUCCAACUCCCUCCUCUCAGUCUCUGGCACUGAAGAUGUAUCAGGUUAUCUUAGUGUUUGGACCCUAAGAGGCCAUAGGCAACCAGCUUGAAGUGAAGCAGAACAAUCCAGCUUUUGGUUUUAAACUUUCAGAAUAUUCCACUGAGAUUGGAUUUGACUUCAGAAGUGCAGCCUCCCCAAACUUCCUUGGGAUAACAGGGCAUUCUGUACUGCUAAUUAGUAAAUAAGUAAGUAAUGAUGGGACUUUAAAGCCCAUCCACAUCUAGAAUUGCCUGCACUGGUUGAGCAAAUAUUUUUUUGUUUGCCUUUUAGGUAGUUAGAGAGAUGAUUAGUUAGACUGAUGCUGUAGCCAUAACAGUCCAGGAAUUAUGCAAAGGGCAAGGAUUCUCAGAGCACUAUCUUUUCUUGUCCAACUACCUAGUUGGAAUAGAGUUCAACAAGCUUUCAAAUGCAAAACUUUCUUCAUGAGGUAUCUUUUAUUGCGCCAACUGCAGUCCUUUUAAAUCCUUGCCCCUCUCAUGUUUGCCUUUUCUCACGCACAUGUCUGUAUUGCAUUCUUGCUGGCCUGUAGAUGUCACACUUUCCAUUUGACAGAAGGGCUGGUUGCAUGGAGGGAAGCAACUGUUCACUCUUAGCAGGUAACUGACCAAUUGAAUGCUGGCUAAAGGGUUUUCCUUUAUACAUUUAUGGCACUUUAAUUCCUUAUGCAUGAUCACAUCUUAGCCAGUCAGCAAAGACCUGCUCUGAAGAGAGUAUUCCUGGUACAGUUUUUGUAAAACAUUAACUCUUCCCAAAGUGGAGAUGGAGAACCUUGCACACCUCAAGAAGUCACAACAGAAUUAUCUGUGGUGGGGCCAGCCAGGCAGGGACAAUGCCAACCAUGUCAUAUUCCCUGCAGGGCAAAGUUCUUCUAUUUUCUGGACUCCUCCCAUGGUAGACGGUAAUGUUAAUUGGCCAAUCAUGCUGAGAUUCAGCGUCUCACUUCCAGCAUUGCCAAUCCCAAGAGAUCAAAGAUCAUGAGUCCGAUCUCUCUAAACAUGAGCUAUUUUAAUAAGUGAAUUGUGGUUUUUCAGUCUUCUUUGACUUUUUUUUUUUUAACUUUUCCCUCCUCCUCUGCCUGUGUAUGGGUGAGGAUUCCAGGGUAAAGAAACAUUAAUGCACAGAGAAAAUGCCCAUCUCUCCCUUGCUGCGCAAAUGGCGAUUCCAUUUAUACCGCGCUCAACCCUGUGAUAAGGGAGCUGCCAUCCAUUUCUUACUACUGUCUCAGCUGACUCUUCCCUUCCCUACUUUUCCUCUAGAACCCACCCCUCUUCCUACUGUACUUGCUCAAAUAUCUGUCUCAAGCCUACUAAGGAGGUACACUGCUACAAUGGCCAGGUUGAAAAGGUGAAUAUGUUUGACAGUAUCCUCCUCUUUGUUUCUAGAGGAAAGCACUGGAACCUCUGGGUGCUAGUACAAAACAGAGAACUAUUGUUCAUAAGAAAGAAUUGAACCAUGUGCUCAAGGGUCAAAGGACAGCAAGUUGGGGGGGUUUAAUAUUGUACAGGAGAAGGUGAGCCAUAUAGUAGACUCUGGCUCCUGUUAAAUAAGAAGGCAUGUUGGUUCCACCCAGCUAGAGGCUUGAACGUUUGCCAAGAGCUGUGUGUGGUUCAAAGCUCCACCUUCUAAGAAGGCAGAGUUUCAGCCUGUAACAAGCUGCUUUCAAAAGGGUGCAAAACCCUAAGCCCUGUCCAGAGGGGAAGGGAGAAGAGGCAGAGGUGGGGCCUGAGGAUCUGAGACCAGCCAGGGCUGGCUCAGACUUACAUUACCUCCUGCAGUCUUUGGGCUCACAUUUAUAUUCCUAAACUUCAAAUGAGGGGGAAAAAACUAAAAUAAGAAAAACAUAUUGAAACUUCAUCUGAAAAAAGAAACAAAUUAAAUGAACAACUGCUCUACAAAUGUGCUCUAUACUGGCUAAUUCCCGGCAGCUGCACAUGACCUUGCUGGCGUGAGGAGGUAUGGCAGACGAAUAACAAAGGGAGAUUCCAAAGUGGAAGAGCAAGCGUGACAUCUCCAGGAUACACACUCUCUUACAGGAACGUAUGCUUGCCUGGUACAAAGACAAAACUUGAUUAAAAAUGUGGA